rfam:Friedmanniella luteola strain DSM 21741 genome assembly, chromosome: I
GGGCCUCUAGCUCAACUGGCAGAGCAGCGGACUUUUAAUCCGCGGGUUGUGGGUUCGAGUCCCACGGGGCCUA